GGGGGCCUAGUAAAUAUUAUUACAUGACCUUGUCGUGGUCAAAUAACAGCACUCUGUGGCCCCCA
rnacentral:tRNA from 1 species